AAAGUAUGUAAAGGUUUGUAGGUAAGCUCUUCCUCCUUUCCUUUAGAGUUUACCAGCAACAGUCUGUCUGUAAUAACAUUGUUGACUUUCAUUUUGAUUUAAUGUUUUUUUUUUUUUUAAAGUGUUCCAGUGAUGCUAAUUAUGUAAGUACUUUUUGCUGAGGAUUUAGGUCUGUACAUACAGAUUUUUUAUUCAUUUCUGCAAUGGGUGAAAUGGCUAAAUAAAAACUUAAACAAGUUUUAAAGAUUUGAUUUGAAAAUAAUGUAUAUUAUAAAUCUCUUUUUAUGUGAUCACAACCACAGGUGGAGUUAGCACAUGGCACGGGCAUAAAAAUCCUCAAGCAUCAAUGGACUUCUGCCCUGCAGGCCCAAACAGCCACUUCAAUGGUGCGUGUUCUUUUAAUGGCCGCCUUCCCACUAGAAGUUCUGAUCCACAGCAAUUUGAAAGGGGGAAAGAGUAAAACUGAUGGUAGUGCAGAGAGAAGACAUGCCCUUGACAAGGAAACCAUGGGAGCCAUAUUUGUGGCAGUCAAGAAGAGGUUUCCCAAUGUGUCCAGAGGAGCUUUGGGUAUUGCAGUGAAUUCCAAGCUGGGGGAACUGAGACUGCUUGAAAAAAAAAGGAGCUAAUUUUGUUAUUGUUUUUUU